UUGUACUUAUGGAUAUUUCAACCUGAGCUCAUUCCUUGGUUCUGUUACUGAAGGAUCUGUGGAUGAAUCCCCAGUAGUUAGAGCAAUAGCAGUGUCUCAGAAAUAUAAAGUUCUUUCCUUUGUUCUUUAUCCUAAUCAUAACAGUACCAACAUUACACUUUCUCUUAAAGGAAAAGUCAAUAACAGUGUGUUUGAGGUUACAUUUACUCUGAAUGUGGACACCACUUCAAGAAAAGAACUCACCAGAUCUACCAA